CUCUAAAUAUUUCAAUAACCUAACAAAUUACAAAAGCAUCACUCUUUCUUCUUCCCCUUCUGCUUCUUCUUAUCCACAAGACAUGAAGUCCGGCAACAAACUUUCCGGCGAUGAUUUUCCGGCCAAGAGAUCGCCGGAAAAUACUACCGUCGGGGAUAAAUUACGGGAUGCCGCUUCCAAAGUUAUAACCAGAAAGUUUUUCGGUUCGGACGAUCGUGGAAAACGAAAUUGGACCGAACGGUCGGAAGAUCCAAUUAGAAUUAUGAUAUUCUUAGGUUCAUGGAACCAUACAUAGAUGUUAUAUAUCUUUCUUUGGCCAUGGACAUAUCGAUCCUUGUGUGUAAAAAGAUAUAUAUAUUUGUGAUGGAGAAUAAAAAUUCAUACCAAUAAGGUAUGUGUUGAUGUUCGAUAAGAAAAAAAAUGCUAUGUUGAUUAAUUUAGUAUUCUGUUUUUCUAAACUAUUUCAAAGUUUAGAGUUAGCUUUGUAUAUAGAGGCUUGUGUAUGUAUACAUGUGUGUGUGUGUGUGUAAACUAUGGUUAAUAUGGAGAAUUAAUAUCUUAGGGCUCUUCUAAAUCAAUUUAGAAAUUCAUGGUUGAAAUUGAGGAUCUACGAGGGUUGUUAAUAUCUAAACAAACGUUGUGACUCAAAACGAAAAGUUUUUAUAGUUGGAGGACUUCUACACAAUAAUGAAAAGUUAAAUACAGAAGGAAGAAUAAAAAGAAAAACGCAAAAAAAAAAAAAAAAAAUUGGAAACCAGAGAUUCGCUUUCCCGGUGUAACCAGAACUAGCAUCAACGUUGUCUCCUCCGGUGAACCCUCUCUCUCUCUUUUCUCGUAAGAUGAUGUUCGAAUUCUCGUGACUAACUCCCGUUUUGGCCUCGAUGAGGCUGAUUAGUCACUGGGCUUGUGCAGUUUAGGGCUCCUCCGUAAUAAUCGGAAUCCCCAUCGGCGUUGGAGAUCGACGAAUUUGGUUAGGCAAACUGGGGAAUUUAUUAAUUGUUGUGUUCUGGUUUAACGAGAAAAGGGCGGAGGAGCUGAUGAUGAUGAUGAUGAUGAUGAUGAUACCAGAUCAUGGAUUUCAUUGGAUCAGGUUGAAUUUUAACUCGAAUCUCUUGUUUUGCUCGUAGACAUGAAAAGUGGGUAGGAUCUUUAAUCAUGCGGCCAUGAUGUUUUGCUAGAUACCCUUAGUGAAUCUUCAGAUUGCUUGAAAUCUGAGAUUGUUCGAUGGGUAUUAGGGAACAUGUGUGUAUCACUCUCCUUGCAUACUAAUUGGAUUGCUAAUGUGUUUUCAUGAUUAUGCAUUGAGAUGUUACACUGAUUAGCUGAUCUUGUGUCAAGAGUUAAAAAUUGCUUGGCUUGCGGGUGACAUAUAUCUCUCCUCUUCAGUUCUUCAAGAAACUCAUUAUGUUCCCCAAGUCUUUGGGAGUUGAGUUAAACCUGUGUUUGAUACUACUAGUUAGGUCUCGCGGAUAUCCGACCACCAACGAACCCGAAGACGGACUGUGGGUUUGACUUCAGGUUUUUCCGAACCAUGAUGGUUUAUCCGUCGGUAUUCGGUUUGGGCUGCGGGUUCACGGGUCUUAGAGACCGAUAUAAUAUCCCAGAACACCCAUGGAUGCGAGGCCGAGACCGGUACCCCAAAAAUCCGGGUACCGACCCCGUCCUACUAGCUGCAGUAGAGACUUAGUGCUUAUAGAUGCUUGUGACGAGUUCUUGAAUCAUUUGUUAUAAGCAAGCUAAUUCUCCGGAUGAGGAAACCUCUAGAUCUGAUCAUUCCUGGUAAUUUUAGGAGCUAAACUUGUUUGAACAUUACCGAUCUGAAUGUUAUGCUGAGAGCCCUCUGAUUUCAGGCGGUUGGAUAUGUUAUGCCAGAAAGCAGCUUGGCUCUUAUAUUCUGCCAUAGAUCUCUUCUGUCAGAGAGUCCCCAACAAGCACUAUUUGGACAAGACAUCGAUAGUCCUUCUCAGAGUUCAGACAUCGUGAAUCCGCGCUCGAAGUGGAACGGAAAACCGUGAGCGAAAACCCGGGCCUGUCCUUGAACGAUCUGAUCAAAAUCCUCGGAGCGGAAUAUACGGAAAAUGCGAGUAGCCGUUUGUUGCCAAUGCAGAGAGUUUCUGUCACUCAGUCCUACUGUUUAGCUCUCUGCUAACCCAUCUUUCAUCCCUUUGAAUUCGGGUUUCGGGUGACGGAUCCGUUCGUGAAUGCAAUAGCGAAGAGAGGCUGUAUGAGAAAUGGCUCGAGGGGACGGGUCGAAAAGUUUUUCGGCCAAACUGAGCUAUUGGUAGAAGCCUAUAGAGAGGUCUGGUCACCGACCGUAGUUGGAUAAUCCUUUAUGCGGAGGUUGUUCUUUCUGCGACUUGUACUUAUUUAUGACAGCGUUUGGGAUGAAUGUUUCCGUAAAACUAUUCAAGGUUUUUUAACACA